CUAACAACAAGAACUGGUACAGAUUAUUUCGCUUGAGCCCUGUGCCAGUAGUAGUUCUCUCGUGCUGCAAACUAUUCCAGUCGUCCUCACUCGCCAGUGGAAACGCUCGACUAUGCCUAACCCGGUUCCUCCUACCCCGCCUUGAGUUGUACUGUCCGGAUGGCAUUUCUGUGGAAGGGAGGCUUUUACUUUUCAUUUUGUACCUUUCUAAACAGAUUGAAAAUUCGUAAUCUUACCCACGUGCCACUGAAUUAUUAACAGAUAAUUAAGUUCCACUAGGAGUCUCAUCAUCCGAUUCAACUCAGACAACUGUUAUUCCUCCUGAAGACAGAAGUGCAACCAACACAGAGCUCCAGAAUCAACAUCAGCAGCAAUGCCAGACUUUCAGAGGCCAAGAGCAAAAUGUUUGCCAAGUGGGUAAUAAACAUGGUGGGAGAUGCCAUUCUUACCCACACCCUUUAUCUGUAGAUCAUAAAUUCUGGCUCCAGGAGAAACAAGACAAAUACUGAUCUCCAGUUUAAAGAAUACCAUGCAUAAAA